rnacentral:lncRNA from 1 species
AGUCGCCAGGCACCGGCCACGGCGCACGCCAACAUCCAGGAUAAUUCUCCUUUCCAAGCCCGGGAGUUCCGGGGCAGGCGAAAAAGGGGGGAUGGGAGACCCACAGUCCCUUUAACCCUCCCCCCUGGCCUGCCAACCUUUUCCGAACCCCCAUGUCACACAACUUCCUCAUCAUGGAAACUUCCACUGGGUUCGGCGCUGAGGAUGCCAAACUCCAUUUCACAAGGAACAUGUCAACAGCUGGGCUUGGGGUUUGAGGAACAGAGCCGCUGCGAUUGGAACAGAGCCCGGCCACCCUGUUCCACCACUGUCCACUCCGUAGCUCCCAGCCUGCCGCCGCGCGGUGCCCGAACACGAGAGGGCACCUCCUCCCAGAUCCGGGGCGCAGAAGCCCCGCGGAGGCAGGUAGAAGAUUCUGAGGCCCUGGGCGGGAACUAGUAAGCCACAAUCUGGAAGAGUCUUUUACCACCAUGUGGAGGAGAACUAGAGCACUCAUGUUGAACUAUUACCGAGAAAAGUAAUCAACUUCUUUUGUGUUAAGUCACUGAAAGGCAAGUGUUGAUUUGUUGCAGUAAUUGGUGCUCCCUUAACACACCUGUCAGCCGGGCCAAACUCUAUCACAGCAUAAAUAAUCUUUUCCUUAAAUAAAUACAGGUAAAA